CCUACGUGAGGCUGCAGUGAGGAAUAUUGGUCAAUGGGCGCGAGCCUGAACCAGCCAAGUCGCGUGCGGGAAGACGGUCCUAUGGAUUGUAAACCUCUUUUGUCGGGGAGUAAACGACGCCACGCGUGUCGUUCCGAGAUUACCCGACGAAAAAGCAUCGGCUAACUCCGUGCCAGCAGCCGCGGUAAUACGGAGGAUGCGAGCGUUAUCCGGAUUUAUUGGGUUUAAGGGGUACGUAGGCGGCCUUUUAAGUCAGAGGUGAAAGUCCGUGGCUCAACCAUGGAAUUGCCGUUGAAACUGGGGGGCUAGAGUAUGUUUGCGGUAGGCGGAAUGCGUGGUGUAGCGGUGAAAUGCUUAGAUAUCACACAGAACCCCGAUUGCGAAGGCAGCUUGCCAAGCUAUGACUGACGCUGAGGCACGAAAGCGUGGGGAGCAAACAGGAUUAGAUACCCUAGUAGUC
rnacentral:rRNA from 1 species